AACGAACGCUGGCGGCAUGCCUAACACAUGCAAGUCGAACGAGACCUUCGGGUCUAGUGGCGCACGGGUGCGUAACGCGUGGGAACCUGCCCGUAGGUUCGGAAUAACUCCCCGAAAGGGGUGCUAAUACCGGUUAAUGUCUUCGGGCCAAAGAUUUAUCGCCUUUGGAUGGGCCCGCGUUGGAUUAGCUAGUUGGUAGGGUAAAAGCCUACCAAGGCGACGAUCCAUAGCUGGUCGGGGAGGAUGAUCAUCCACACUGGGACUGAGACCCGGCCCAGACUCCUACGGGAGGCAGCAGUGGGUAAUAUUGGACAAUGGGCGCAAGCCUGAUCCAGCCAUGCCGCGUGAGUGAUGAAGGCCUUAGGGUUGUAAAGCUCUUUUACCCGGGAUGAUAAUGACAGUACCGGGAGAAUAAGCUCCGGCUAACUACGUG
rnacentral:rRNA from 1 species